CCUACGGGGGGCAGCAGUGAGGAAUAUUGGUCAAUGGACGAGAGUCUGAACCAGCCAAGUAGCGUGAAGGAUGACUGCCCUAUGGGUUGUAAACUUCUUUUAUAUGGGAAUAAAAUGUUCCACGUGUGGGAUUUUGUAUGUACCAUAUGAAUAAGGAUCGGCUAACUCCGUGCCAGCAGCCGCGGUAAUACGGAGGAUCCGAGCGUUAUCCGGAUUUAUUGGGUUUAAAGGGAGCGUAGGUGGAUUGUUAAGUCAGUUGUGAAAGUUUGCGGCUCAACCGUAAAAUUGCAGUUGAAACUGGCAGUCUUGAGUACAGUAGAGGUGGGCGGAAUUCGUGGUGUAGCGGUGAAAUGCUUAGAUAUCACGAAGAACUCCGAUUGCGAAGGCAGUUCACUGGACUGCAACUGACACUGAGGCUCGAAAGUGUGGGUAUCAAACAGGAUUAGAUACCCCAGUAGGC
rnacentral:rRNA from 1 species